rnacentral:rRNA from 1 species
CCUACGGGAGGCAGCAGUGAGGAAUAUUGGUCAAUGGGCGCGAGCCUGAACCAGCCAAGUAGCGUGAAGGAUGACUGCCCUACGGGUUGUAAACUUCUUUUAUAAAGGAAUAAAGUGAGGCACGUGUGCCUUUUUGUAUGUACUUUAUGAAUAAGGAUCGGCUAACUCCGUGCCAGCAGCCGCGGUAAUACGGGGGAUCCGAGCGUUAUCCGGAUUUAUUGGGUUUAAAGGGAGCGUAGAUGGGUUGUUAAGUCAGUUGUGAAAUUUUUCGGCUCAACCGUAAAAGUGCAAUUGAUACUGGCGGUCUUGAGUACAGUUGAGGUAGGCGGAAUUCGUGGUGUAGCGGUGAAAUGCUGAGAUAGCACGAAGAACUCCGAUUGCGAAGGCAGCUUACUAAACUGCCACUGACGUUGAUGCUCGAAAGUGUGGGUAUCAAACAGGAUUAGAUACCCUAGUAGUC